UUUUUUGGUUGGGGAUGGACUCGCGGCCUAUCAGCUUGUUGGUGAGGUAAUGGCUCACCAAGGCGACGACGGGUAGCCGGCCUGAGAGGGUGACCGGCCACACUGGGACUGAGACACGGCCCAGACUCCUACGGGAGGCAGCAGUGGGGAAUAUUGCACAAUGGGCGAAAGCCUGAUGCAGCAACGCCGCGUGAGGGAUGACGGCCUUCGGGUUGUAAACCUCUUUUAGUAGGGAAGAAGCGAAAGUGACGGUACCUGCAGAAAAAGCACCGGCUAACUACGUGCCAGCAGCCGCGGUAAUACGUAGGGUGCAAGCGUUGUCCGGAAUUAUUGGGCGUAAAGAGCUCGUAGGCGGUUUGUCGCGUCUGCUGUGAAAUCCCGAGGCUCAACCUCGGGCUUGCAGUGGGUACGGGCAGACUAGAGUGCGGUAGGGGAGAUUGGAAUUCCUGGUGUAGCGGUGGAAUGCGCAGAUAUCAGGAGGAACACCGAUGGCGAAGGCAGAUCUCUGGGCCGUAACUGACGCUGAGGAGCGAAAGCAUGGGGAGCGAACAGGAUUAGAUACCCUGGUAGUCCAUGCCGUAAACGUUGGGCGCUAGAUGUAGGGACCUUUCCACGGUUUCUGUGUCGUAGCUAACGCAUUAAGCGCCCCGCCUGGGGAGUACGGCCGCAAGGCUAAAACUCAAAGGAAUUGACGGGGGCCCGCACAAGCGGCGGAGCAUGCGGAUUAAUUCGAUGCAACGCGAAGAACCUUACCAAGGCUUGACAUACACCGGAAACGGCCAGAGAUGGUCGCCCCCUUGUGGUCGGUGUACAGGUGGUGCAUGGUUGUCGUCAGCUCGUGUCGUGAGAUGUUGGGUUAAGUCCCGCAACGAGCGCAACCCUCGUUCUAUGUUGCCAGCGGGUUAUGCCGGGGACUCAUAGGAGACUGCCGGGGUCAACUCGGAGGAAGGUGGGGAUGACGUCAAAUCAUCAUGCCCCUUAUGUCUUGGGCUUCACGCAUGCUACAAUGGCCGGUACAAAGGGCUGCGAUACCGUAAGGUGGAGCGAAUCCCAAAAAGCCGGUCUCAGUUCGGAUUGAGGUCUGCAACUCGACCUCAUGAAGUCGGAGUCGCUAGUAAUCGCAGAUCAGCAACGCUGCGGUGAAUACGUUCCCGGGCCUUGUACACACCGCCCGUCAAGUCAUGAAAGUCGGUAACACCCGAAGCCGGUGGCCUAACCCUUGUGGAAGGAGCCGUCGAAGGUGGGAUCGGUGAUUAGGACUAAGUCGUAACAAGGUAGCCGUACCGGAAGGUGCGGCUGGAUCACCUCCUUUCU
rnacentral:rRNA from 1 species